rnacentral:rRNA from 1 species
GGGCCCGCACAAGCGGCGGAGCAUGCGGAUUAAUUCGAUGCAACGCGAAGAACCUUACCAAGGCUUGACAUAUAGAGGAAAAGUGCAGAAAUGCACUCCCCGCAAGGUCUCUAUACAGGUGGUGCAUGGUUGUCGUCAGCUCGUGUCGUGAGAUGUUGGGUUAAGUCCCGCAACGAGCGCAACCCUCGUCCUAUGUUGCCAGCACGUAAUGGUGGGAACUCAUGGGAUACUGCCGGGGUCAACUCGGAGGAAGGUGGGGAUGACGUCAAAUCAUCAUGCCCCUUAUGUCUUGGGCUUCACGCAUGCUACAAUGGCCGGUACAGAGGGCUGCAAUACCGUAAGGUGGAGCGAAUCCCAAAAAGCCGGUCGUAGUCCGGAUUGGGGUCUGCAACUCGACCCCAUG